UCGCUGUUGGAUGGGCCCGCGGCUGAUUAGCUUGUUGGUGAGGUAACGGCUCACCAAGGCGACGAUCAGUAGCUGGUCUGAGAGGAUGAUCAGCCACACUGGGACUGAGACACGGCCCAG
rnacentral:rRNA from 1 species